rnacentral:tRNA from 1 species
GCGCCAGUGAUGUAAGUCGUAGCAUCGCUUCCCGAAAAGCAGAAGGUGCGGGUUCGAGUCCCACCUGGCGCA